rnacentral:rRNA from 1 species
GUGUGACUCGUCACACUAUCAUUAACUGAAUCCAUAGGUUAAUGAGGCGAACCGGGGGAACUGAAACAUCUAAGUACCCCGAGGAAAAGAAAUCAACCGAGAUUCCCCCAGUAGCGGCGAGCGAACGGGGAGGAGCCCAGAGCCUGAAUCAGCAUGUGUGUUAGUGGAAGCGUCUGGAAAGGCGCGCGAUACAGGGUGACAGCCCCGUACACAAAAGCGCAUGUGCUGUGAGCUCGAUGAGUAGGGCGGGACACGUGGUAUCCUGUCUGAAUAUGGGGGGACCAUCCUCCAAGGCUAAAUACUCCUGACUGACCGAUAGUGAACCAGUACCGUGAGGGAAAGGCGAAAAGAACCCCGGCGAGGGGAGUGAAAAAGAACCUGAAACCGUGUACGUACAAGCAGUGGGAGCACCCUUCGGGGUGUGACUGCGUACCUUUUGUAUAAUGGGUCAGCGACUUAUAUUCUGUAGCAAGGUUAACCGUAUAGGGGAGCCGUAGGGAAACCGAGUCUUAACCGGGCGUUAAGUUGCAGGGUAUAGACCCGAAACCCGGUGAUCUAGCCAUGGGCAGGUUGAAGGUUGGGUAACACUAACUGGAGGACCGAACCGACUAAUGUUGAAAAAUUAGCGGAUGACCUGUGGCUGGGGGUGAAAGGCCAAUCAAACCGGGAGAUAGCUGGUUCUCCCCGAAAGCUAUUUAGGUAGCGCCUCGUGAAUUCAUCUCCGGGGGUAGAGCACUGUUUCGGCUAGGGGGCCAUCCCGGCUUACCAACCCGAUGCAAACUGCGAAUACCGGAGAAUGUUAUCACGGGAGACACACGGCGGGUGCUAACGUCCGUCGUGAAGAGGGAAACAACCCAGACCGCCAGCUAAGGUCCCAAAGUCAUGGUUAAGUGGGAAACGAUGUGGGAAGGCCCAGACAGCCAGGAUGUUGGCUUAGAAGCAGCCAUCAUUUAAAGAAAGCGUAAUAGCUCACUGGUCGAGUCGGCCUGCGCGGAAGAUGUAACGGGGCUAAACCAU